CCUACGGGUGGCAGCAGUGAGGAAUAUUGGUCAAUGGACGAGAGUCUGAACCAGCCAAGUAGCGUGAAGGAUGACUGCCCUAUGGGUUGUAAACUUCUUUUAUAUGGGAAUAAAAUGUUCCACGUGUGGGAUUUUGUAUGUACCAUAUGAAUAAGGAUCGGCUAACUCCGUGCCAGCAGCCGCGGUAAUACGGAGGAUCCGAGCGUUAACCGGAUUUUUUGGGUUUAAAGGGAGCGUAGGUGGGUUUUUAAGUCAGUUGUGAAAGUUUGCGGCUCAACCGUAAAAUUGCAGUUGAAACUGGCAGUCUUGAGUGCAGGAGAGGUAGGCGGAAUUCGUGGUGUAGCGGUGAAAUGCUUAGAUAUCACGAAGAACUCCGAUUGCGAAGGCAGCUUACUGGACUGCAACUGACACUGAGGCUCGAAAGUGUGGGUAUCAAACAGGAUUAGAUACCCUUGUAGUC
rnacentral:rRNA from 1 species